rnacentral:rRNA from 1 species
CAUGCAAGUCGAGCGGACAGAAGGGAGCUUGCUCCCGGAUGUUAGCGGCGGACGGGUGAGUAACACGUGGGUAACCUGCCUGUAAGACUGGGAUAACUCCGGGAAACCGGAGCUAAUACCGGAUAGUUCCUUGAACCGCAUGGUUCAAGGAUGAAAGACGGUUUCGGCUGUCACUUACAGAUGGACCCGCGGCGCAUUAGCUAGUUGGUGGGGUAAUGGCUCACCAAGGCGACGAUGCGUAGCCGACCUGAGAGGGUGAUCGGCCACACUGGGACUGAGACACGGCCCAGACUCCUACGGGAGGCAGCAGUAGGGAAUCUUCCGCAAUGGACGAAAGUCUGACGGAGCAACGCCGCGUGAGUGAUGAAGGUUUUCGGAUCGUAAAGCUCUGUUGUUAGGGAAGAACAAGUGCGAGAGUAACUGCUCGCACCUUGACGGUACCUAACCAGAAAGCCACGGCUAACUACGUGCCAGCAGCCGCGGUAAUACGUAGGUGGCAAGCGUUGUCCGGAAUUAUUGGGCGUAAAGGGCUCGCAGGCGGUUUCUUAAGUCUGAUGUGAAAGCCCCCGGCUCAACCGGGGAGGGUCAUUGGAAACUGGGAAACUUGAGUGCAGAAGAGGAGAGUGGAAUUCCACGUGUAGCGGUGAAAUGCGUAGAGAUGUGGAGGAACACCAGUGGCGAAGGCGACUCUCUGGUCUGUAACUGACGCUGAGGAGCGAAAGCGUGGGGAGCGAACAGGAUUAGAUACCCUGGUAGUCCACGCCGUAAACGAUGAGUGCUAAGUGUUAGGGGGUUUCCGCCCCUUAGUGCUGCAGCUAACGCAUUAAGCACUCCGCCUGGGGAGUACGGUCGCAAGACUGAAACUCAAAGGAAUUGACGGGGGCCCGCACAAGCGGGUGGAGCAUGUGGUUU